rnacentral:rRNA from 1 species
UUUAAUUCGAUGCAACGCGAAGAACCUUACCAGCCCUUGACAUGCCGUGCUACUUGCAGAGAUGCAGGGUUCCAGCAAUGGACGCGGACACAGGUGCUGCAUGGCUGUCGUCAGCUCGUGUCGUGAGAUGUUGGGUUAAGUCCCGCAACGAGCGCAACCCUUGCCUUCAGUUGCCAUCAUUGAGUUGGGCACUCUGGAGGGACUGCCGGCGGUAAGCCGGAGGAAGGUGGGGAUGACGUCAAGUCCUCAUGGCCCUUACGGGCUGGGCUACACACGUGCUACAAUGGUGGCGACAGAGGGCGCAGGCGAGAGCGCGAGCUUUAGCAAAUCCUCAAAAGCCAUCUCAGUUCAGAUUGCGCUCUGCAACUCGGGCGCAUGAAGGUGGAAUCGCUAGUAAUCGCAGAACAGCAGGCUGCGGUGAAUACGUUCCCGGGCCUUGUACACUCCGCC